UACGGAGGGUGCGAGCGUUGUCCGGAAUCACUGGGCUUAAAGGGCGCGUAGGCGGCUUGCCAAGUCAGUGGUGAAAUCCCACAGCUUAACUGUGGAAGUGCCUUUGAUACUGGCGAGCUCGAGGGAGGUAGGGGUAUGUGGAACUUCUGGUGGAGCGGUGAAAUGCGUUGAUAUCAGAAGGAACGCCGGUGGCGAAAGCGACGUACUGGACCUCUUCUGACGCUGAGGCGCGAAAGCUAGGGGAGCAAACGGG
rnacentral:rRNA from 1 species